AGGAGAUGAGAAGUGCGAGAACCUGUGUUCAGUUCCCAGCACUCAUAUGGUUAUUUUUUUUUUUUUUUGGUUCUUUUUUUCGGAGCUGGGGACCGAACCCAGGGCCUUGCGCUUCCUAGGUAAGCGCUCUACCACUGAGCUAAAUCCCCAGCCCCACUCAUAUGGUUAUUUAAGGGAUCAGAUGCUCUCCUCUAGCCUCCACAGCCACUAGACAUACAUGUGGUACACAUAUAUACAUGUAGGCAAAACACUUAUACACAUAAAAAAUCUUAAAA
rnacentral:lncRNA from 1 species